UUGUUUUUGAAAAAAAAAAAAAACAGAUUCGCAUGGGAUUAUAGAGUAUAUUGCUAAUUGCUAAUGUAUGGUUUUCAAUGAUAGUAUAAAAGGUGUAUUCUUUAAAGGCGGUGGGGUAGCAUCAUCAGCAAAUAUAAAGAAAGCAUUAAUGGAAAAAACGGCUUUCGUUAUUGUCUAGCUCUUCUAGUCUGCUUAAGGAAAGAGAGAAAAUGAAAUCAUCUAUGCCAUGAUAAUUGUUACGCGAAAAAUGAAUAUACGAAUCUAAAACGAUUUUCAGAAGGUGAAAGAGGAAAGGAUAUAGAGGUAUUUUGGCAGAAACUAUAUGGCCGAUGAACACGAAGAUGAGAACACAGAGAGUAACUUGUCAAGCAUUCAAAACGUUUCUGCUUUCUUUAUUUCUUAAGGGGAAGACCUCAUGCUAGAUGAGGUUAGAACUUGAUGUGGACGGAGAGGCCAGCAGCCAGCAGCCAGUAGCCACUCGCCAGUGAAAACAUGGAAGAAGUUUAUCCUCUCCCCCGCUCAAGAACAAAUUUUGACCCCACCAAGCAGGAAAAGAAGGGUAGAAGAAAGUGAAGGGGGACAUGUCGUGACUUGUGAAGCGCGUUGAUAGGAUAAGUGCGUAGUGGUGGAGGUGGAGUUCGGCUUGUUCGUUAUUAGGGGCCGUCUGAUCGUGGUCGUUAUCGUGAUCGUGAUCGAAGAAGGUGGCUAAUGACAAGAAUAUUGCCGCGUGGUCCGGACAUUUUUUAAGUGACAAAUCUACCCUUUUCCCCUUUCAGUCAGAUUGCUAAUUUGCAGGGACGCGUUUGGGUGAGUUGAUUAGCGGGUUGUUUGGCGGAAUUCGG